rnacentral:rRNA from 1 species
AUUGAACGCUAGCGGCAUGCUUAACACAUGCAAGUCGAACGGCAGCGCGGGGAGCUUGCUCUCUGGCGGCGAGUGGCGGACGGGUGAGUAACGCGUAGGAAUCUACCUGUUAGUGGGGGAUAACCGGAGGAAACUCGGGCUAAUACCGCAUAAUAUCUAAGGAGCAAAGGGGGGGACUUUCGGGCCUCGUGCUAACUGAUGAGCCUGCGUUGGAUUAGCUAGUUGGUGGGGUAAAGGCCUACCAAGGCGACGAUCCAUAGCUGGUCUGCGAGGACGACCAGCCACGCUGGGACUGGGACACGGCCCAGACUCCUACGGGAGGCAGCAGUGGGGAAUAUUGGACAGUGGGGGAAACCCUGAUCCAGCAAUGCCGCGUGUGUGAAGAAGGCCUUCGGGUUGUAAAGCACUUUCAGUGGGGAAGAAAGACUCAAGUUUAAUAAACUUGGGGGUUGACGUUACCCGCAGAAGAAGCACUGGCUAACUCUGUGCCAGCCGCCGCCGUAA